UGGCAGAAAAAACGGAUGCUGCGUAUUUUUAACGCAUUAAACUGAAAAAUAAUAAUAAUUUCAAAAUUAAUGCGUUAAUCUUGACAGCCGUAAUUUAUUUAUUUAUUUACUGUUUGCGUAUGGGAGUGGAAGAAUCGCUUAAGCUCGAAGGAUAAAGCUUGGAGAUGUGAGGUUAAAAGAUCAUUAAGAGGUUUUGAUAUGCUCGGAUAUUAUAUGGCCACUUAUGUAUGCCAGUGAGAUAAGUUAUAGUAGUACUGUAUUUGAGCAAUAAAACCUUUCAAAACUGAAAAUGAUUAUAAGGAGAUAAACCGUAUUAUUUAAAGAAAUACGCAACCAGAGAGAGGAGGAGGAAACGCAGCAAGCAGAGGAUGCGAGAAGAAUAGAGUUUGAUGCUGGAGCGUCAUCAUUGCCUAGUGACUCUCCUAGCAACAGGAAACAUCUGUUUCAGUGUCGACCAAUCAGGAGCCGGUGCAGUCUGUUAUUGCUCUCUGAACAGAAAGGGGAUAUUUUAAGAGCCGAGAGUGAGCCGAAUACUACAGGGAUUAUAUCAAAAGCAAGACUUCGACAUCUGGGGGCGAAGCGUCAAGCUCACGCGGAGCUGAAAGCGGCUACAUUCGGCACAAUAUGAGCUGUUUUGAGCCUCUGAUCUGAUGAACGCGCGUGCAGGGACUGUUAAUGUGGCUUUAUAAAUAAGGAACCAAUAGGCAAUGUGUGUGAGCCAGAGGAAAGAGCCUCAGGUGAAUAGAGGAUUUGUCAGAGAGGCGUGUGAGUGUGUCUGCGUGAAGCAGUCCUCAGGGUCUUUCCUCUAAGAGUGCCCUCAACGGUCGACAACGUCGAAAGUUGCCUACUUUAAGCGAAAAUAUGCGGAAGAGGAGGAUGUUCAGGGAAGCCUACAUGGAUAUUUACAAAAACACCUGAUCCUGCGUGAGGAGCGCAGCUGCAUCUUGCGCCUAUCUCUGCAGAAGCUGCGUUUCCUAGACGACCCCGAGGCUUACCUCCGCCGCUCCGUGCUCAUCAACAACCUGCUACGCAAGAUCCACCUGGACGAAGCCCAGAGGGAAAGAGAGAAACAGAGAGAUGACAAGGAGGAGGAGCAGGAGACAGAGAGGAGGCGGAAGAGACUGAAGGUGGUGCUCCAGGAGUUCCAGCAGUACAAGCUGCUGCCGUACUCACCCUCCCCAGCCACGUGCAUCUGUGGCCUGGGGAGCUGCCACACCCUGCCUCCUGAUCAUGGAGCUUCAGUGCUACUCUACCACUUGGAUGAUAAAGGAUAAGAUAUCAUCGUGUGUAUGCACGGGAUUUCCAACUGUCCAUGACUGAUUUCCAGGAGCCAGCAAAAAGGGGGAUUCGGGUUUGUGUGCAUUUGUGCUUGUGCAAGUCUGCUGGUGAGCAUGAGCUCUGUGGUUUGUGACGUAACAGGUGUCCGCCCAUAUCAGGGUGUAUUUUUCCAAGUGGAAAAAGACAACAUCAUAUUGUUAUCACUGCCUCGCUCUGUUAAUCUGAACUUUGACCACAGAUGUUUUGUUUUAAUAAAUUUGCUUGAGUGACUUAUAAUCUUAAACACUGUUUUCAGGGAUAAAAAAGGCAAACAAAAGCCAUGCACCUUGUGGUUGUUAUGUUAUAAAAAAAAAUUAAAUGAAAUUGUCAGUUUCAAAAUCCUUGUUGCUCCUAAGGUUGGAGUGAUUUUACUUGCUCUGAAAUGAACUUUUUUGUGCGUGUAAGUGGCUACAUAUGUCGAACUAGCUAAUGUUUUUUUAUUAAGUUCUCAUACCUUUAACAAACAAACAAAUAAAAAAAUAAAACAAAGAAUAUAUGGAGAUGUAUGAGGGAAAAUAAGUAAAACUAAUAUUUCUUUCAAGGCCUUCUGGUUUUUUCAGCUUAAACAGGGUCUCUAGUGACAUGCAACUUUCAUAAUAGUAAAACAAAAACAAAAAAAAUGUAAACGGUUCAUUUGCAUUUGCUACUUGUGUUUAAUUAAGGUCUUUGCAUACAGCCUUUUGAGGCUUUUGGCAGAAACUGUUAUGUUAAGGUGACUCUGCCAUCUAGUGUUAUGGCAGUGAAUUCUCCGCUACUUUAAUUCAUUCAUUUCAAUCAUCUCUACUACCUGCAGUUUAUAAUGCUGUUUUACAGUCAUCUGAAGGUAGUCAAUUGAUAGUAAUUUAGUUAUUCAGUCCAGUUUGUCCCAAUGCCUCAUUUGUACACACAUGGAUUUUCUACAUUUCUGUCUCUUUAAUAUCUGGAUCUGGAAACACUAACUGUGUGGGUGUUGGAAUAUCUCCUAGCAAUGACCUACAUUCAGUGCAAAAACCCACGGUUUAUGACUAACAGGGAAAACAAGGUAUACAUGCUCAAUGUAGUGUAAAAUCUCCCACUCUCUUUUACACAGAACCUCAGAUGAUCCUGUUCUCAUCUCAUAUCGCUGUGCAUGUCUCACAUGUUGGUUACACAAGGUUUUCUAACAGGCAAAGUAGUGCAAAAAUAUUUUGGUACAGUAUAUAAUGACUGGUACUUUUAUCAUUGAUAUUUUGUGUGUUUGUUUAUGCACAUUUGUAUGUGUAAUGUAUUUUUUUCAAUAUCUGAAUGUAAUUUACUGAGAUCUAAAUUCAGAGUGCUAUCUUUUGGACAUUUCAAAGCAUAGACAUGGAUAUCCAGUUUAUUUUGAAAUGGAGCUAUUUUUUGUUUCAAAGAGAACAUUAUUCCUCAGAGAAUUAAGUGCUAUUUUGCCAAAAGAUUUAAAAGUAGCAUAUACGAGAAUUGUCUAUUUUCAUGGCACUGCAGUCAAAUAAAAUAAAAUAUUGAAUGUUUCACUCA